rnacentral:rRNA from 1 species
CAAAGCUGUCUCUUACGGCCUAGCCAAUGAAAUUGAUCCUCCAGUACAAAAGCUGGAAUAAACUCAUAAGACGAGAAGACCCUGUGGAGCUUUAAAACCAAGAUCAUUAAACUAUGCUCCUUGGAUUUUUAGUUGGGGCGACUUUGGAGCAAAAAAAACCCUCCAAAACAUAAAUUUAAUUAUUUAGACCAACACACCAAGAAAAUUAUAUUAGACCCAGCAGUAUUUUUUACUGUCUGACCAAUGAACCAAGUUACCCCAGGGAUAACAGCGCUAUCCUCUUCUAGAGUCCCUAUCGACAAGAGGGUUUACGACCUCGAUGUUGGAUCAGGACACCCCUAUAGUGCAGCCGCUAUAAAAGGUUCGUUUGUUCAACGAUUAAAGUCCUACGUGAUCUGAGUUCAGACCGGA